CGCGUGUGGCAAGUCUCUUUUUCUCAAUAAAGCGCAACUUCCCGGUAUCACGUCGGGGUGUGCUCGUGUCGCAACUCGUCGACUGGCCACUGACCCUACCCCGCUGCCACGAACAAGGCUAGUUUCUGUACAGGCCGGACGGCGGUUCGACCGCUUAUAGAAUACGACAUAUAUACAGCCAGAAUCCUGGCGCGCAACAAACGUAUCUGUCUUGCGCUGAUCGCACCGGCGGGUUUGGGCACAGCCCUAACAGCCGUCAUUCGAGGAAUCACCGCCAUGAUCGAGUCAUUCACCCGCAAAAACGCCUCGGGAAAGAGGCCAGGGUGUGCGUGAAGUCACCCAAGCGGGAGCACACCAGAGUCCGUCCAACUGCAAGGGGUGUACAGGCAUAGCGAGAAACUGAAAUUCACACGGGAGGCGGUCACCUUUUUUAUCCUGACAUGUCAGAAUUGUCACAGCCGACUUGAGAAGGAGUCAAGAGCACAGGUGCCUAGCCAGACCUCAGGGGAAGUACGCGUGUCCGCUAACUGGUCUGGCCGAAAACCUCAAGGGGCACGAGAGUUCUGCAGCAGAGGCAGUGCAGGGCAGUGCAGGGCAGUGCAGCGUCGGCGUGGAGGUUUGGAGAGCUGAGGGGGCAAAAGCGAGGCGCGUGCUUUGGAGAUCGGGACAGGAAGAAGGAAUCCUGCUCUGGGAACGGAUAACCUGUGAGGAUCUGCGUAAGCCUGGUGUGCAACACGAGACCCUGGCGCCGGGUCGGCCAGCGGUGCACGUCGGCGGAGCUCGGGCGGCGGCUGUUGAUCGGAAGCCAGAACGUCUCCCUGCUGUUCCGUAACGGUGUUCAUCGGCUUUGUAAUAAAUAGCGGAUCCUUCGGUAGAAAAUUCUGCCUGGGUGUGUGAACCUGUACGGCAGAGGGAGUCUAUUCCAGUUCAGGCAGAACGCGAUUUGAUGUUGCGCCGGUGGACCUUUUGCAGUCUUGCGUCCGUGUCGCUUCUACAGUGUUUCUCGAGAGUGAUUAUUCGAGUCUCGCCCCGGCGCAGUUCCUACACCGGCCCCCAUGGCGGCUCGCCCGUCCUGCGCCGGCACGGCCAGGGCGAUCAGGGGCCAGUGCGACCAGAUGCCGACAAGCACAAAGCAUCGGCCGGAGAGCUGUGAACAAAAAUGAGCCGCCCUUGUGUGCAAGCUAGAGUGUCCAGAUAUAGCGCAUCAGGUCCACAGAGACCAUUGCUAGCCCGUGCAUGUCCACAAUGCAGCACUCCUCGUUUCUCGAUAUUCUUGGGGGGUAGGUGGAUAUGGCGCGGUAACAAUUUUGUAAGUGCAGUCAAGACGAAGCGGAAUUCUUGCGCUCUGUCUUCCCGUCUGCGUCCGCCAAGCUGCUCAGCAAGUGUGCCAUGUCCCGCAUUUAACAGUCCAAUCCACUGUUUACCGCAACAGUCGAGAUGGACCUUUAGCGCAGUGGUUCGCCGAACCUUCUCAGGCCACGUCGGGGACUUUCUCAUCUAUAGCACUGGAACUUGCGUGCCAGUCGGAGCAAAUCAAGUGCGAGAACCGCCUGUGGGGGUGCAAGCAGGUCUUCCCCCGACGGCAGUACAGGGGCGACACCGACACCCUGAACACGAUGUCGAGUCCGUCGACAGUUUCACGAACCUGAUCGCUGACUGGCAUUGUCCCCGGUGGAUUUUGGUUGUACACCACAUACCCAUAGGGCCCCAACAGUAAGUCGGUUUUCACCGGUGCCACCGUAAGAGUCCUCCGCCGUGUGCUACGUGCGCGAAUAAGUGUAUGAUGUGAGAAACCGG
rnacentral:lncRNA from 1 species